rnacentral:rRNA from 1 species
UACGAAGGGUGCAAACGUUGCUCGGAAUUAUUGGGCGUAAAGCGCACGUAGGCGGCAUUGCAAGUCGGAUGUGAAAUCUUAUGGCUUAACCAUAAAAGUGCAUCCGAAACUGCAGUGCUUGAGUACUUAAGAGGAUCGCGGAAUUCCCGGUGUAGAGGUGAAAUUCGUAGAUAUCGGGAGGAACACCAGUGGCGAAGGCGGCGUCUGGGAAGAUACUGACGCUGAGGUGCGAAAGCGUGGGGAGCAAACAGG